GGGGGGGGGCUGUGCUCUGUAGCAUCAUGGGGGGUUCAGGGGGGACAUCGGGGGGCUCCGUCUUCUUCCCUUGGUGGUCUCGUUGCUGGGACACUCAAAUCACCACAGAAGAGGAAGAGGAUCAAAGUCUUCUUCCUCGUGGCAAAUUCCACUGGUCUGCGCCGCCUCCGGACCGAAGUCCAGCCCGAGGGGAACCCGCCGGGGGGAAAUGUCACCGGGACGCGUCAAAGGAGCGUCGCACACCGCGUGUGUGUGUGUGUCAGCAGGAGAAACCCAGCUGAAGGCGUUUGUCGUGUGUGUGCAGUAUUUAUCUAUCAGGGUGUGUGUGUGUGUGUGUAUGUGUUGUCUAUGUUUGUCUCCAUGGUGACGCUCACCACACACCGCCGGCCUACUGACGAAUUCCCAUCCAAGCUUUAUCUUCCUAAUAUCACACACACAUCGGUGCGCUGUGUGUGUGUGCGUGUGCGUGUGCGUGUGGGUGUGGGUGUGUGUGUGUGUGUGUGUGCGCGUCUCUGAAUUGAAUUGUCCCCAUUUCAGACGGGCGCACAAACGUUCUGCCUCGUGGGCUGCCGAGGAGCCCACAGGCCGGCCGCGUGGCGCCGAGGUGUUGAGGCCAGUAGGAGCAUGGCGGCGACGGGGAGGUCCAAUGAGGGCUGCAGGAACCUUGGCGAGGAGGAAGGCUCCUCCUCGUCUUCCUCCGUGAAUCAUUGACGGGCCCGGCCGGCGUCUCUCGGUCUCACCUAGCUGAGGAAUUGCGGGCGGCGAAGAGAAGAAGAAGCCCGUGGGCAUCAAAGAACCUUUGGAGCCUCCAUGUGGAGCUUGAAGGACAAAUAUCCCCGCGUCUUAUGAAAAGAGAACUUGUGAAGAUCAACACAAGGAUUCAUUCCUUUGUGUCUUCUUACCUGGACCCUGAUGGGACCCGGUAGGACCGGGUCUGUUGUGGGUCUCCACUCGUCCUCUUCGUUGAGGAGCUCUGUCCGUCUUGUUGGAGAAACUCACUGUAAUUAGAAUUUAUUCAGAGGGAAAAGAAGCAAAGUUCAUAAGAGAGUAACGAAGCUCAGAGCGUGCCCCCCCCCCCCCCCCCCCGUCCCAGCUCUGUGGCCGGGCUGCUCCCCUCUGCAGCGGCCUGUGAGCGCGCCGGAUGUCCCCCCGUCCCAAGCGGGGAUCGGCUGGGCGGCAUCGAGCCCACGGCGGCGUUUUCAGGGCCGAACAAAGCGAUGUUGACGACCCGAGUUUGGGUGUCACGUAUUAUUGUGUAGGCGGACGGACUCUAGGACCCUGGGAAGGCCCACGCUGAGACGUCUCCGGAGGGAGACGGGAGGACAGGGCAACAAAGCAGCGAGCAUUGUGGGAAAUGUACUCCAGGUAAAUCCUGGUUCAUCUCGUGGCCUCCGUCGGGCGGGAGGAGUUACCGCUGUCCUCUGGCACCCUGAUUACCCACAAUGCACCUCGAGGUAACAAUGUGGCGAGGAACGAGGCCGAGUGAACAUGAGGGCAGCAGAGGGGAGGAAGAGGCGAGAGGGAGACUCUUCGGCACCUGGAGGUGGUCGACGACCCGAGCUAAUGAGAGAGCAUCGUGCUCUGCAGGAGGGGGAGGAGCCUGGAGGCCUCCAGGUGAGCGCCCCUCCUCCUCCUCCUCCUCCUUCGUUGAGAACUUUGCUCCGUUGCAAGAGGAGGGGUAACUUUCCAGAAAUCAUUGCGACUAAACAGGGGAGAGGUUGUUGACCCGCUGUAAUCUCCUUUAUGUGCCUCAUAAAUACGAAGCCCCCCAACCGCCGCACGCACAAAAACACUCCCCACCCCAUAAUGUCUAAAGGUUAAGCUAGAGCCAGUGUUGGAGGUCAUGACCUCAUCACACUAUGGGGCUCAUAUUUGGGACAUCAUGAAAUGAACAAAAGCGCCGGCGUGUGGUCUUCCUGGCGGGGGGGGGCGGGGCUUAACAGGGGUCAAGUGAACUGCACGUUGCUCAUGAAUUGACGUGCGCUGCAGCCGGAGGAGGGGAAGCGGAUAAAAAGGGCUUUCUGCUGCACAUUGCGUUCUCUGUGCCCAAAGCAGAACGAAGCCUCACCAGAUCAUUUACAUUUAUUUUUACGAUAUUUAAACCAACAAAUAACAAAAAUAAAUCAAUGCAAAACCUCUAAAGCUGACCGAAGUGUGUUUAGGAGCCCCUCUGCUCUGACAGCGAGCGCGAGACCACCAAUUUCACCCGGUCAAUAUUUGAGGAGCUAAUUCGGAGAGUUUGUCCCCUCCGUCGGGGGAGGAAGAGGGAUUUACUGAAUAGUGUGCGAUUCUGCACGCGCAGGCCGUGCCUUUGCAUAAUGUCGUUGACACGCACCCUUAUCUCUGUGCGUGUGUGUGUGUGUGUGUGUGCGCGUGCGAGCGUGCGUGCGUGCGUGCGUGCGUGUGUGUGUACCUGUGGUCAGCUGUGCCAAUAAUGCAGCUUUGAUUAGAGGCUUAUCGCAGCUCCGUCACACCUCGGGCAUGUGACUCCUCCGGCAGAGCCGUAAAACAAACGCACCCGAGCGCCUCGAAAGGACACUUUCAUGCUUCGAGUUCAUGCACCUGAGUAUCAGUGUUUGAUAUUUUAAUGGCUUUAGAGCUGCACAAGUGGCCUGAAGGUGAAAGCAGCUCAGAAGUGGAGAAUCAACGAUGAUGAAUAAAUAAAACAUGGGGGAUGUUGUUCAAUCUAUUUGUGUUUAGGAGGGAAAUAAACAAACUGUCGCGGAGCAGAUCGGAAGUACGUCUGUUGCCACGGUAACCGAUAAACAGCUGAGGUCCAAACUCCACGUGCCUCUGAAACACAAUCCACCGUGUGCGUGAUGCUUCUGGUCACCCGACCAGAUAAAUCCUAAUAAAAGAAGGGAAGCUUGAAUCACCCCCCCCCCCCCUCCCCCCCAAGGUCUUUCUUUUCUGGCCUCUGAACAAUCCGAGGCUCUGGGUUUCAACGCCGACCUCCAACGCCUGUACGCCGCGGUGGUCGCCCGCGGCAACGCUCGGAAACGCAAACUGUCCGAGGAGCAGCAGACAGCCGCCGUGGCCCCGUGUUUAGGUGGAUCCGUCUCCAGUGAAGCAGGUGAAGGCGGGAAGGAGCAGGCUGCUGCAUCCAAGAUGGCCGACAGACCCGGCGCACAUCAGUCUGUCCCCGUCCUGUCCAAUCCGCCCGCACGCCCGUCCUCCAAACCAAAGAAGAAGAAAGCAGUGGGCCUGUUCCGGUGACCUCCUCCUGUCUGAAGGGUGUGCUCCUUUUAACCAAGUUUUACUUUUGACAAAAUGACUUUGAUUAUGGCUCAACUUUUAGAUUAAAAAUGCUUUUAAAGUCUUAAUUAAACGUGUUUCAUUUUUGA
ensembl:lncRNA